UUUGGUGUUGCCAGUAAUCAGUAUUGAGCAGUUACAUGCAUGGAAAGUAGUAUAAUUACAAGGGUACCCACAUUUUUGCAGUACUCUGAUGUUCCUGGGAACACUUUUUGAAAGUGGAGUAAAUUAUUAUGCAGGCUGUGAGGGGUUCCCAAAGUUCUAUUUCUUCUCUACAAUAAUUCCAGAUUUUCCUGCAAAUGGACUAUAGACAUUAAAAAAUUAAAGAAGAACAGUUAAAUACCUUGCUGUCCACUGCAGGAAACUGGGGAAAAUGAUAUAUCAUCCAAGGCAACAUAUCCUGCUUGGAUACCAUUAAAGGCAACUUCAAAAAUAACCUAAAAAUAAAUGAUGACAAUUAUCUGACAGCAGGGCAUGUAUAUAACAUUCUGUGACUGAAUUUCUAAAUACAAUUACAGAUAUUAGUAUAGGCCUUAUUUCUUCUUUCAUUCAGUAAGCCAUUUACACAAGGAUCCAGGGGCAGUUCUGCUCUCCCUGCCACCUGAGGUGGUAUACCCUAUGCUGCCUACAAUCUCCCAUUCUUACUUCUUAAUUUAAAAUAGACAUAUAGGAUAAGUGAAACCCCCCUAAUGUUGUAGGCAAAAAUGAAUAAUAUAUUUACCCAAGCUAAAAAUGAAUAUUAUCAUUACAAUUGGCCCCUCUGUUGGAGCUCCCUAUAUAUCUGCUACAGGGGAAUAGGCAAUUACAGCCCUGCAGUCACACAAGCAAAGACCGGUUCAGUUCCCUUUCAAGUCAGACUAAUUGCUGAUCAUGUGAUUUUUUUUUUAUGGUCAUCCCCCCUAAUUGCCAUGUCUGUUUUACAAAAUUUGCCUGGUUAUGACAUUUUGGACAUUUACAGGCCAUGUUUUAUUUGUUAUAACAGUUUUACUAAUGACAAAUCUUUUCUACUGCAGGUGACUAAUCUUCCCCAGAUACCUUCUCACCAGCAAGAGUACGAAUCUCACCAGCAAGAGUACGAAUCGCCGGUGGGAUGGCAUAUGAAUCGCUUCGGAUUUCCAAAUUCGCCCGAAAUUGCCUCACAAGGAAACUUCUGGCAACCACGGAAGUCCGAAUUGAUUCGUAUGCCAUCACACCAGCAAUUCAUAUUCUCGACGGCGGGAACGCAUUUCAGGGAGAUUAGUUGCCUGCAGUAGAGAAGAUUUGUCGCUGAGCGACUAAUCUCUCUGUGUGUCACUACCCUUAAGCUGUGAGCCACAGUUCUUCAGUUCUUAUCUUAAAUAGUUACAAUUGUAUCUUUGCUUAUCUUAUAUUGUUACAAAUGUAUCUAAGUGCAAGUUCUCAGUAUUCUGGGCUCUCGUAUUGAAUUAAGAUUCAGAAGCAUUGUAUUUUUUUCUGGAGUCAGUGCAGGAGAUCAAAAAGACACUCCAUACUUCAGAAAUGGCACCUUUCACACAUAUAGACCUAUAUGUUUUGUGCCUAAAAUGGGCAUUUAAUAGGCCUAUGAUUAAGUGCCCAGGUUAGUGACAAAAUCCACAAGGCUUUGAAAGUCAUUUCAGAACGUACCUGCAAGUGCGGGUGCUCUAAAAUUGACACAAUCAGAGAGUACAUGUUGAAACAUGUGAAUCCACUUGCAUCCAAAUACACAUGAUUGUUAAUGUGUCCAUGCUGUUUUUUCCAUCAUUGGGCACACACCUGCACCUACUAACAAUGCAGAACCCUGGAUAUGCCACCACCCUGGACCUAGCAACCAACAGUGAGUUGCAUCAACAGUGCAAGCUCUGGAAGUAAUACACAAGGCACUCACUCUGAACUUGCAAACAAUUUGUGUCAAAAUGCAAGCUUAAUUGAAUCCUUUUUGGAGCAUCACCAGCAACUGCAGUAAAGCAACUUGGAACUCCUGUGAAGGUGUUAUUGAUUAACCUGGCAAAUUCAGAUUUGUGUUGGCAGCCAAUUCACUCUUAUUGGAAACAAUACCAACCUAUUUGGUAUAUUAUGAUUUUUUAGUAAACUGAACGUAUGAAGAUCUAAAUUACGGAACAAUCCGUUAUCUGGAAAACCCCAGGUCCAUAGCAUUCUGGAUAACAGGUCCAAUACCUUUAGUAUUAUCAGCAAGAGUCCAUAUUUGCUGCUGGUCCUGUCCACCAGCAAAACAGUAACGUGCAGUUAUAGAUUCUGAAAACAAAUUAUGUAAAGUAGCACUGUCCAACUGUGGUCUUAAAGGCCCCAAGACCAUGCAACAUUUCCUUAUAUAGUACUUCCUUUGAUUAUAUUGUGUUUUUAAAAUAUUUAGACUCGAUCGGAUGGUAUACUGAUUUUGUGGCUAUUUAUGUUGAGAAAUUUAGACAUUAUUGUGUGACAUUUUUUUGUUUAGAAAAUGUAUUAUUGUAUUUUCAAUAAUAAAUAAGAAUUUUCUGCUUUUUAUGACAAUAUCUUUGGCGUGCGGUCUUGGAGUAACUGGUUUAUGUUCCUAAAGGCUAAAACAGCAAUAUAUAUAAUAUUUAUUGCAUGACUAAAAUGAAGAUAAAUUAAGAUAAUCGAUUCAUGCUUACCUCUAAUGGGACAGGUGCAUUUAGAUCAACUUCUGCUAGAUUCCAUUCUCCUUGUCUCACAGCACCCAUUUUCCAGAUUUCAUCAUAUGAGCCAUGAAGAUCUCUGAUGGUUCAAACACAGAAAUACACAUCCUGCCUCUUACAGUAUAUGGACAUUGGAAAAUCUAAGAAAGGAACAAGGAAGGCCUGACAAACACAUUCAAGCUGCUUGGACUUGGAGUGGUUUCUGAGCCUGCAAUCUGGUACACCAGUCUGAUGCAGCUCCAUUCUGCAAAAUGAAGAUCUGGACUAAUCAGCACAGCUUUCUGCCCCCG